rnacentral:rRNA from 1 species
GACGUAGGGGGCAAGCGUUGUCCGGAAUUAUUGGGCGUAAAGCGCUCGUAGGUGGAUCGAAAAGUCUGUGAGGAAAUGCCUGGGCUCAACUCAGGAACCCGUGCGGAUACUUUCGAUCUUGAGGCAAUCAGAGGAUGAUGGAAUUCCCGGUGUAGCGGUGAAAUGCGUAGAUAUCGAGAAGAACACGUAGGGCGUAGGCAAGACUCUGGACAAAUGCUGACGCUCAUGCACGAAGGCUAGGGUAGCGAACGGG